rnacentral:pre_miRNA from 1 species
UAACAUCCGCAGGCUGGCCCCAGGCUGAGCUGGGCAAGUAUCUCUUCGAAAGGCUUACCCUCAAGCAUGACUAGGAGC